GACGAACGCUGGCGGCGUGCUUAACACAUGCAAGUCGAACGAAGUGGCGAACGGGUGAGUAAUACGUGAGUAACCUGCCCUCCUUUUUGGGAUAAGCCUUGGAAACGGGGUCUAAUACCGAAUAAAGUGGGAUGGGCUCGCGGCCUAUCAGCUUGUUGGUGGGGUGACGGCCUACAAAGGCGGUGACGGGUCGCCGGCCUGAGAGGGUGACCGGCCACAUUGGGACUGGGAUACGGACCAGACUGCUACGGGAGGCAGCAGUGGGGGAUAUUGCAGAAUGGGCGAAAGCCUGAUGCAGCGACGGCGCGUGGGGGAUGAAGGCUUUCGGGUUGUAAACCUCUGUCGCUAUCGAAGGGGUAGGUGGAGAAGAAGCGCCGGCUAACUACGUGCCAGCAGCCGCGGUAAUUC
rnacentral:rRNA from 1 species